rnacentral:misc_RNA from 1 species
GGGUAAUGCUGGUCAUGGUAAAAUGGAAGGGAUGAUGAAAUUGGGAAGUGAAUGGAUUCAGUCUUGAUUGGAACAGGGUGGGUGAUUUGGUGGUGGUUUUCUUCAUGGGUAUGGUUUGGGUUCAAAGGGAUUUGGGGUUCCCAUGGGUUGAGGGAGAUAUGGGUUGUCACCCCAGUAGCAGCGGCGGAGAUUGGCAGCUGUGGAGGAGGAGGGUUGGCGAAAUGGCGCUGGUUGGCCGGGAAAGGGAAGACCGAUGAUUGGUCGAGAUGGAAAUUGGGUUCAUCGGCGAUGACAGCUGAGUUAGCAAUGGUGGAAGUAGCGGCGGCUCGAUGCAUGAGACCUGAGUUAGCUGAGAGCCUGGCACUUUCUUCAGCCAAAGCAUCGCAAAAUGCCCUGUGAGUCACAAAACUGUCCUUCCUGGCAAAGAGGGUACCACAGUCACAUCUAUACUCCUUUGUUCCACAAGUUUUAGAGUGAGCUUUCCAGUCAGAUUG